AUUGAACGCUGGCGGCAUGCCUUACACAUGCAAGUCGAACGUGAAAGCGGGGCAACCCGCAAGUAGAGUGGCGGACGGGUGAGUAAUACAUCGGAACGUGUCCAGUAAUGGGGGAUAACCUAGCGAAAGUUAGGCUAAUACCGCAUACGAUCUGCGGAUGAAAGCGGGGGAUGCGGCACUAAAGGCUUUUGGCGAAGGUGGCCAAAGGUGAGUCAAGAGCUUUUAGUGCNGCACCUCGCGUUAUUGGAGCGGCUGAUGUCUGAUUAGCUAGUUGGUGAGGUAAAGGCUUACCAAGGCGACGAUCAGUAGCUGGUCUGAGAGGACGGCCAGCCACACUGGGACUGAGACA
rnacentral:rRNA from 1 species